AUUCAGCUGACAAGUUCCAAAUAGGACGAAACGCGUGUUCUGUAU
rnacentral:hammerhead_ribozyme from 1 species